CCAGAUGGGAUCCCAAGACUGAGCUUCUAGGUGCAGUGUGCCUCUAUGAUCUAUCACUAUGGAGCUGAGCGUUUCUCAUCUGCACUGGAACUUGUAUCAUCAGACUAGUCCAUUCCAGCUACUUAGUAUACCAGGGUGACACCUGCCCUCAAGAUCUGCAGUUUAGCUAUGCUUUAGCUGCCGUUCUGAUGUCAAAUGAGGUGGGAAGAAUCCGGAGGUGUCCGCAAGGCAGACAUUUUUCACACUGAGGAAGACAAAUAGUAAUGGGGCUAUGACAUUUAGAAAGGUGAAUAGACAAAGACUUGUUACUGCUAGAGAACAAUUGCAUUGCUAGCCAUUUGUUUUAGUGAACUGUAAUUAUAUAGAAAAAGCUAAGCCAGUGGUCUUCCUAACACAGAGUGGUGUCAUGCACAAACGUCCAUUCUCCUUUGCAGUACUGGGACAUGUAAACACUACAUUUGCACGGUGCAAAUAAAUAAAAGGAGCUCUUUUUAUACAGAAAAACCUGGUGCCAAUACCAUAGUGACACAAAAAUUCUAUAAAAACAAUAAAACAAACUGAAUACAUAACAAAAGUAGUAUAUAAAUUCUGGUCAAUUGUAGUAUAAUUCUACAGUAUUUUUUUGUGUAAAUGAAUAUAGGGCAAUAGGAAGCAAGUCUGAUUUAUUUAUCACAACAGUAAGAAAAUAUUACAAACAAAAGGAAGCAUUAUGGCCCUCAUUCCGAGUUGUUCGCUCUGUAUUUUUCAUCGCAUCGCAGUGAAAAUCCGCUUAGUACGCAUGCGCAAUGUUCGCACUGCGACUGCGCCAAGUAACUUUACUAUGAAGAAAGUAAUUUUACUCACGGCUUUUUCUUCGCUCCGGCGAUCGUAAUGUGAUUGACAGGAAAUGGGUGUUACUGGGCGGAAACACGGCG